GCGGUCGGAUGUAAGCAGAAUGUGAGUUUCAGCUACCGGAAUCAGUGGAAACAACGCGGGUGAUGUUUAUAUUUUGCCAUUCAAGAAAGAAUAAGGGCUGCCCCCAUAAAUCCGGUAUGUUUCUACGGUUCUAGUGAUCUUCCACGGUGUCGUUCCUGGUAGCAGAGUUUGGGACUCGAUCCCGAGUGGCCGGACUCUAGUUUCCCAGAUUCGGUACGAGGCUUUUCAGCCUUCGCCACCGAGUAGGAAGCCUCUGUCCUCUGCAGGCAGCAAAGCCAGAGUGAGGAGGAACUUGCUCCAUGCAUGAGGAGGAAUCACACAGGUCCACCACAGCACAAGAAACCCAGAUCUUAUGGAUCCCAUUGACUCUGAACAAGGGCCAGAGAAGCCAGCAGAGCAGUGUUGCGAUUUAACACCCAGCUCCAGAGGACGUCAACGGAAGAAAAAUCCAAAAUAUUUAGAUUAUGAAACUGAAGGCGUGUUUGAUGUCCAAAGUUCCCAGCAAAAACCACGUAGAAAGAGCUCAGGAGAAGGAAGAGCAGCAGCUUCUAAAAGGUCUCCAGCCAAGAAUAGAAAAGCUAAGACUGCCACACAACAGAGUGAGGAUGGGGAAGAAGAAGAAGCAGGUGACAAAACACCUCAAGAGCCUGAUGGAAAAACUUCAGAGGAAACACCUAAAAAGGCAGUGAGAGCCAAGAAGACCCCAAGGAAAAAGACUCCCGCCAAAAAAGGUCCUGCCAAAAAAACUCCCACAACUGAUGGGGACCUCCCAACUGGGGAGGGUGGAGUUGUAGUUACUGUGCAGCAGGAAAAUGGGACGCCAAAGCCAAAGAGAAAGUAUGUGAGGAGGAAGCCUGUACAGGAACCAGCUCCAGAACCACCACGUGAGGAGGCGCAAGGGGAACCGACAGAACCCGAGGAGACCACACCAAGUGGGCGCCGCAGGAGAGGUGCUGCUAAAGCGGCUUUGAAGUACCUCCAGUCUUUGGCAAAAGAAGUGUUCGCUCAUCCAGGUGAUGAGCCAGGCUCCCAGGCAAGGGCAAACAGUGAUGUCACCCCUACAGACCAGGACUCAGUCACAGAGCGGAAAAGUCUCAAAGGAAGCAAAGGGCGUAAAGGCAAGAAGAGGAAACGCUCUUACUCUGACAGUGAUGCCGCAGAAGAUGAGGACUUUGUUCCAGAUGUUGAAGAAGAUGAGGAGGUUGAGGAGAUGGAAGAUGAAGAAGAAGCAGAGGACUCUGACUCAGACUUGGGGACUGGUCGAAGAAGUCCACCAACUUUCUACUUCAACAAGAACCAUACAGGCCCGAAUGUGAAAACCCCCAACGGGCUCACCACCAACGUCAUGAAAGUAGUUUGGGACGCCACUGACACGACCAAGAAAUUCCGGGAGGAGCACCACAGCAGCUGGGUGUUCCCAGAGUGGGUCCCCUGCACCAAUGACUGGCACCUUGUACCACAAAGUGAUGUGGAGAAAUACCUGCCUCAGGAGCUUCAGUCGGCUGCUUUCAAAGUGUCCAGAGAAGGCCUCAACAAGGAGCAGACACCUCUGCAAAGACUCAGCAGGUUCACAGCAGUGCCCUCUCACCCGGAUCGCUGGGACAUGAUGUUGUAUACAGGUGGACCGGUCUGGGCUAUGGAGUGGUGUCCUACACCUGAUGGUGCUCCGGCAUCACAGUACUUAGCUCUGGCCUGCCAUCGAGGGAUGGACGACCAGCACUAUGUCAACAAGACGUACAGCGGACCUGGACUCGUUCAGCUGUGGAACUUGGGCACGCUGGAGUACAGCUGCAGACCAGACUCCCAGCCAGCCUUGGCCUAUGGCUUGGCCCAGGACAAAGGCUUCAUCUGGCAUGUAAAGUGGUGUCCUGCAGGAGGCUGGGAGCUUCCCAGCUGUGGCAGAAAGGCUCCGUUCCUGCCCAGACUGGGUCUUCUCGCAGUUGCUGCCUCCUCCGGUGUGGUCACCAUUUACAGCCUGCCCCACCCUGAUGCUCUGCACUCCAACAAGAUGACGGCUAACUCUGGAACAGCCAGUGAACAGUUGCCAAUAUACCAGGCAGAAGGAGUGUUAACUCUGAAGCUGGGUGCAUUGAAAGCUCUUCGACAUGAAAGGAGUGGACAAGUCCUGUCUAUGGAUUGGCUGCCUGAAAAACCACACAACAUAAUGGCUAUUGGAUUCUAUGAUGGUGUAGUAGGUCUGUGGGAUCUGUGCACGAAGUCGGCGCUGUUGCGGGUGCGAGAGUCAAGCACGUCGCUCAGCCUGCUGCCCUAUCGAUGCCUCCUGGCUCACGACCAUGCCGUCAGGGCCCUGGCCUUCUGUCCUGCCUCCAGGUACCUGUUGGUGACAGCAGGAGAAGACCGCUAUAUUAAGACAUGGGAUCUGAGGAGGCUCUACAAUCCCAUCACUGUUCAGAAACGCUAUCUGACCAAUGAGAUCUACUGGCCAUUGAAUGCACCGGGCCUCCUGUUGGCUCAGGAGAACGCCUAUGCAGCGUAUGGUUCACAAGGAGUCCAUUACUUUGACCAUUAUAUGCGAGCAAUCUUUGCGAUUCCUAGGACAGCCUCUCUGUGGUCUAUAUCUUACACCGACUGGAUGAACAGUGUGGUGACUGCAGACAGCCUUGGUGAGGUGAUCCUCUCGCUGUUACCUCAGAUAUGCAGCAGUCCUCAGUACAUCAAACGCACGUUAGAGAGACGAUUUCCUGUUUACUUAACAUCUCUGGUGCUUCACGAUACUACUGAAGAACUAAAUCAAGAGAUGGGAGGAGUGGAGGAGGAGGGAUGUGAUGUUGAAGAGCAGGAGGGAGGAGAGGCAGAAGGAGCGGAUGCUGGAUCUGAAGGAGGGAAUGAGGACGAUAAUGAAAAUGGAAGCGAUGGAGGAAGAGAUAGAAAGAAUCAAUGUCCCCCUCUGCGGUUCCACACGUACAAAGAGGCUGUGAAGAAAUACCUCCUCCAACAUAUGGACAGCGAUAUGCGGACCUUUGCAGGAGGCGAGAAGCAAACCUUGUGGAAACGCAUGAAGGACACGGAGGUGAAGAGAAAGCUGAACUUGGAUGAGAAGCCGUUGGGCGCACUACACAAGGUAUUUACACACACAGCGCAAGUAUCAUCAGACUCCUGCUGCAACACAACAUGACGAAGAAGGGAAGAGAAAGAUAAACACUAGACUAAAAAAGAAAGCAGGUGAGAGAUGAAAGUAGAGCCCCUUCCUCCUCUUUCUCCUCCUCUGAUGGGCAGCUAUAAAGACGGGCUGAAUGUAAUGAUGUGUAAAAUGAGAAAAAUGUCACCCUCGGUGGAAGGAGGGAGGGGGAGAUGGAAAGCAGCCAUUUGAGGAUUUGAUGUGUUUAAUUUUAAGAGGGGCAGAGUGGAGGGUGUCGCUGUGCCCUCUGGGAUGAGAUGAUGGACGGGCACUUCAUGGGACAAUCUCAAAAACAAAACGCCACUGAGUUUGUGACUGGCUUUUCGUCUGAAGGGGAGAAAUGGAUUAGAAGGAGGAAGAAACUGACUGGACAAGAGGAAGAGAAAAAAAUAAAAGCAGAGGCACACCAGGAGGAUUUAUAGUGAUGAAGAGAGGGAUAGAUGAGCAUCAGUAAAAAAAAAAAGGAAGGAGGUGGCAGUAAUAUUGACUCACUGAGAGCUACAGCUGAGUCAUUCGCAGGAGGGAAGAGUGGACAAAUAGCUACUUGAUUAAAAAUGUUGUAAGUUUAUAGUAACACUAACUCAAGAUGAAGUAAAAUUUGUCAUCACAUUAAAUAAUUAUACAGUAGUUAGUUCCAGUCAAAACAUUUGUUUGGAUAAAAGUCAUUCUAAGAGUGCUGACAAAGAGUACAUCAUCAUCACUGGGACAUAUGACCACACAUGUAUCCCUCUGCUUUACAGGUGUUCUAACCCGUUAAUCAGCCUACAAUAACAGUUGUCAUUAAAAACACUGCACAGCAAAAGUUAAUAUAUUUCCACAAAUAAUAUAUGAGUUAAAUUCUGAAUGGUCAUCAGAAGAGGACGAAGGAAAGGAAAGAAGCCCAGAUACUUCACUGCAAACCUCCAGGUCAGCGCCGCCUCUACGUGCAUGGGGCAUGAAGUGCUGAAGGGGGCACCAAAACAGCUAAUGAUCAUCAAUCACAAUCAUAAUGAUGAACUAUUUAAAUUUAAGGCGAAGCACAACUACAAUAGGCACCAUUAGACCAUUCUAGGUAAUAUGAUAUAUGUAAUUACUCAAAAUAAUAAAAUGAACCAUGCAUCAGGGUCAUUAAGUAAAAAAAAAAUAUGAAAAGCACAGAGUAAUUACACUUAGGGGCACCUAGGUGGAUAGCAGCAGCCCUGCUCCAGGUGUGCUUAUGACAUUAGCCAAUGUCACAACGUACUAUCACAUCAAGCUGUUAACUCAUUGGAAUCAUACGUGCCUUUAAAGCAACGGUCAACACACUCUUAUUUUGUGUUGGCAGAGCCAAAAAAAAAAGAUUAAAUAAACAAACAAAUCAUAAUCUGUUCUCGCUUAUUACUGCUAAAUUUAUAUACAAUGCAGGAUUGUUGAUUACUGUUUGUAAGCACACUCGCCAACGAAUGUAAAACUAAAAGCCAAACCCCAGAUUCACUCUGGUUUGGUGAUACAUUUGCAGGGUUUUUUUUUUUGGUGCUGAGUCUCUUUGGUGCCUUCUGCUUACGGUCUGGCACCUGGUAGCUGCUUUUUUAUAAAGCCCCAACCUUAUCUAAGCGCUGUGGGGACUCAAGCCCAUAAACGUCAGAAAGAUAAGUAGAAAAUAAGAAAAUACAGACAGUGGGCAGAGUCUCAGAAGAAAAAUACACCGCCACACAUUUCUAGUGAGUCAUAAGUGAAAGUUGCAGGGAAAUGCUUCUGUUUGACUACAUACAUUGUUUUUAUACCUCCGCACUAGUGAUAGCCAUAGCCAGAGGCAUUAUGUUUCGGGUUGUCUGAUUGUCCCAUUCUUGUGAACGCAAUAUCUCAAGAAUGCCAAUAGUGAAUUUCUUCAGAUUUUGCACAAAUGUCCACCUGGACUCAAGGAUCAACUGAUAAGUUUUUGGUGGUCAAGGGUCAGAGGUCAAGGUCAUCAUGAUCUUGUAUUCAUCUUAUUCUCAGGAAUGCAGUAUCUAAAAUUUACCUUCAGGAAACUCUUUGCACAGACAUCCACUUUGAAUCAAGGAUGAACUGAUGAGAAUUUGGUGGUCAAAGGUCAAGGUCAGUGUGACCUUACAUCCAUCACAGUCUCAUGAACGCAAUAUCUCAAAAAACAUCUACAUAAAUAAUUGUCUAGCAAGGCUGGCAUUAUGUGUGGAGUCCCUCAGGGAUCACCACUUGGUCCAUUACUGUUCAGCUUUUACACGUUGGCUCAGUGCGACAAACACAUUAUGCUGAUGACACAGAUUUAUACCUGUUCUUUUCCUUGAGACUAAUCUCAAUAGUACUGUUAAUUCCAUAUCAGUGAUAUUUCUUUAAGAAUUAAGAUUUUUGUUUUUGUCUGACUGGAUAAGCCAUGAAAACUGCAUUUAGUGUGGUGACUGUGAGAGAUUAACACACUGAAGCUUGAGGAAAAAUGCAGGCAUUUUUUAGCCUUUGUUUUAUUUCACUGUAAAACUGUGUCCAUUUUGACUAUUGAUAGUGCUAGCUAAGCACUUUUCCUCCUCCAUAAUAUAGAUUCAGGAAAUGUUACUCACUUAAAGCAGCAUUUGUUGGAGCAAGCAGAGCUACUUACAGGCAAGGUUUUGUAUUUCUUAAUGUCAAAUUGAAUUUUAUUCACUCUGAUUGCCCUAAUCGACUUAACGUUUUCUUCCAGAAUCUCUCUUUUUUUAAGAUACUUUUGGGGCUUUUUGCCUUUAUUUGUUAGGACAGAUACAGUAUGAAAUAGGGAGAGAUGGGGGAUGACAUGCAGCAAAGGGCCAUAGGUUGGAAUUGAACCCACGGCCGCUGCAGCAAGGACACAGCCUUUGUACACGGGGCGCCUGCUCUACCAGGUACGUUUCAAC